AACUCAGUCCAGUUCUAACCCUGGUUUGACCUGAACACACCUGCACUGGUGUACAGGACUGACGUCUGCCCCCCCCAUUCUGCUGGACGGCUGCCAGUCACGGGUCACAUGACCUGGAAGAAAAAACCUACGAGCCUUCUGGGAUCCGUCAGCGCAUGGGCCGCCUGUCAACCUGAAGGGACAU